rnacentral:rRNA from 1 species
UACGUAGGGUGCAAGCGUUGUCCGGAAUUAUUGGGCGUAAAGAGCUCGUAGGCGGUGUGUCGCGUCGGUCGUGAAAACUUGGGGCUUAACUCUGAGCUUGCGGUCGAUACGGGCAUCACUGGAGUUCGGCAGGGGAGACUGGAAUUCCUGGUGUAGCGGUGAAAUGCGCAGAUAUCAGGAGGAACACCGGUGGCGAAGGCGGGUCUCUGGACAGUUCCUGACGCUGAGGCGCGAAGGCCAGGGGAGCAAACGGG